rnacentral:ncRNA from 1 species
ACCGCUGAACUAAGACAUAUUAAUAAGCGGAGAAAGAAACUAACAGAUUUCCCUGAGUAACGGCGAGUGAAAGCGGGAAGAGCUCAAGCUUAAAAUCUCCGUGCAAGUUUUGCGCGGGGAAUUGUAGUCUAUAGAGGCGUGAUCAGUGUGGGCGCUUGGGGCAAGUUCCCUUGGAAGAGGACAGCAUGGAGGGUGAUACUCCCGUUCAUCCCUGAGUUGCUCGUGCGUACGAUCCGUUUUCUUUGAGUCGCGUUGUUUGGGAAUGCAGCGCAAAGUAGGUGGUAAAUUCCAUCUAAAGCUAAAUAUUGGUGCGAGACCGAUAGCGAACAAGUACCGUGAGGGAAAGAUGAAAAGAACUUUGAAAAGAGAGUUAAAGAGUACCUGAAACUGCUGAAAGGGAACCGAAUCGUUUCCAGUGUCUAUAAUCCGUGGUAUAUUUCAUUGGCGAGUGUGUGCGUGCGUGUGCUGUGGCAGCGGCUUUUUUGGCUGCGCUCGGCGUGUGUGCUGUGUGUGCUUGCUGGUGCCCUGUGCUGCGGUGGGACGUCAAGGUCAGUUCGUAUGCUGCGGGAAAUGGCCGCCGAGGAGGUAGGGCUUACGCUUGCGUUUGUCUGUUAUAUCUUGGUGGACGAGUAGUCGCGGUUGGGACUGAGGUGCCUACAACGUGUUUUUGAGUGGGCCUGUGUCUCUGUGUGCGCCGUGUGCGGAUAGCUUGCUAUGCGUGUGUGGUUGUGUGUGGAUUGAUGUGGGUUUUAACUUGUUGCCGUUCGGGACGUUGACGAAAUGGAGCGAUUUGACCCGUCUUGAAACACGG